rnacentral:tRNA from 1 species
GGGCACGUGGCGGAAUAGGCAGACGCGCUAGCCUUAGGAGCUAGUGGGGAAAACCCGUGGGGGUUCAAGUCCCUCCGUGCCCACCA